CCUACGGGAGGCAGCAGUGGGGGAUAUUGCACAAUGGGGGAAACCUUGAUGCAGCGACGCCGCGUGGGUGAAGAAGCGCCUCGGCGCGUAAAGCCCUGUCAGCAGGGAAGAAAAUGACGGUACCUGAAGAAGAAGCCCCGGCUAACUACGUGCCAGCAGCCGCGGUAAUACGUAGGGGGCAAGCGUUAUCCGGAUUUACUGGGUGUAAAGGGGGCGCAGACGGCGAUGCAAGCCAGGAGUGAAAGCCCGGGGCCCAACCCCGGGACUGCUCUGGGAACUGCGUGGCUAGAGUGCAGGGGGGGCAGGCGGAAGUCGUGGUGUAGCGGUGAAAUGCGUAGAUAUCAGGAGGAACGCCGGUGGCGAAGGCGGCCUGCUGGACUGCAACUGACGUUGAGGCGCGAAAGCGUGGGGAGCAAACAGGAUUAGAUACCCCGGUAGUC
rnacentral:rRNA from 1 species